rnacentral:rRNA from 1 species
AUUGAACGCUGGCGGCAUGCUUUACACAUGCAAGUCGAGCGGCAGCGCGGGGGCAACCCUGGCGGCGAGCGGCGAACGGGUGAGUAAUGCAUCGGAACGUACCCUGGAGUGGGGGAUAACGCCGCGAAAGCGGCGCUAAUACCGCAUAUGCUCUGAGGAGGAAAGUGGGGGACCGCAAGGCCUCACGCUCUGGGAGCGGCCGAUGUCCGAUUAGCUAGUUGGUGAGGUAAAGGCUUACCAAGGCGACGAUCGGUAGCUGGUCUGAGAGGAUGAUCAGCCACACUGGGACUG